ensembl:snRNA U6 U6 spliceosomal RNA
GUGCUCACUUUGGCAGCACAUAUACUAAAAUUGGAAUGAUACAGAGAAGGUAAGCAAUGGCACCUGUGCAAUGUUGAAAUGCAAAUUUGUGAAACAUUCCAUACUUUU